GUGAACGCUGGCGGUAGGCCUAACACAUGCAAGUCGAACGGCAGCACAGUAAGAGCUUGCUCUUACGGGUGGCGAGUGGCGGACGGGUGAGGAAUACAUCGGAAUCUACUUUUUCGUGGGGGAUAACGUAGGGAAACUUACGCUAAUACCGCAUACGACCUACGGGUGAAAGCAGGGGAUCUUCGGACCUUGCGCGAUUGAAUGAGCCGAUGUCGGAUUAGCUAGUUGGCGGGGUAAAGGCCCACCAAGGCGACGAUCCGUAGCUGGUCUGAGAGGAUGAUCAGCCACACUGGAACUGAGACACGGUCCAGACUCCUACGGGAGGCAGCAGUGGGGAAUAUUGGACAAUGGGCACAAGCCUGAUCCAGCCAUACCGCGUGGGUGAAGAAGGCCUUCGGGUUGUAAAGCCCUUUUGUUGGGAAAGAAAAGCAGCAGGUUAAUACCCCGCUGUUCUGACGGUACCCAAAGAAUAAGCACCGGCUAACUUCGUG
rnacentral:rRNA from 1 species